GGGCCUGUAGCUCAAUGGUAGAGCAUCUCCCUUUUAAGGAGUUGGUUUGUGGGUUCGAAUCCCGCCGGGCUCA
rnacentral:tRNA from 1 species